CUGUCGGGGCUAAAAAUAGAAAAAAGAUGAAAAAGGAGAUGGCAAGGGAUGCGACCGCAGUUGAAUAAGUGGAUGGUGAAAGGCAACAGGUGUGAGGAUGGUGGAUCAGGAAAGACAAGGGAAGGCAGUGGAGAAGAACACAGGCAAGGAGUGAAAGAGACAGACAUUAGGUC